AUUGAACGCUGGCGGCAGGCUUAACACAUGCAAGUCGAGCGAGCGGCGGACGGGUGAUUAAUGUCUGGGAACCUGCCUGAUGGAGGGGGAUAACUACUGGAAACGGUAGCUAAUACCGCAUACCAUCGGAUGUGCCCAGAUGGGAUUAGCUAGUGGGUGGGGUAAUGGCUCACCUAGGCGACGAUCCCUUGCUGGUCUGAGAGGAUGACCAGCCACACUGGGACUGAGACACGGUCCAGACUCCUACGGGAGGCAGCAGUGGGGAAUAUUGCACAAUGGGCGCAAGCCUGAUGCAGCCAUGCCGCGUGUGUGAAGAAGGCCUUCGGGUUGUAAAGCACUUUCAGCGAGGAGGCGGUACUCGCAGAAGAAGCACCGGCUAACUACGUGCCAGCAGCCGCGGUAAUAC
rnacentral:rRNA from 1 species